ensembl:lncRNA
GUUUGGGACUCUUUUAAACUCUUAAUUGAACUAUCAUUCUACUUCCUGUCUCUCCCUCCAGUCCUGCCACAUUUAUAUACAUCUUUCAUUUGUCUCCAUGGUGAUGCAUCUAAGAUGUAAAUGUGACUGUCAUUCCCCUGAAUAAGGCAAUGGUUUCCUAUUACUUCCACUAUGCACUCUAACCUGGAUCCUGCCUGCUCUGUUCUUACCUCUCACCACUUUGGACGCAGCUACUAAAGUUCCAGGAAGAUUAAACAACAUGUGGUUCAGUCUCUGAAACAUAUUUCUUCCUACUCUAUUCCGUAUGGCUCAUGCUAUUUUCUCUGCCUAGUAUACCUUUCCACCACUUCUUCCCUAACUUUGACGAAACCUGCUUGAGUGUCAUCUUUCCCAGGGGGUGUCUCAGAAGAGUGCAUGACAAAUAACAUUCCAUAUGUGCAGUUAAAACUAUCUGCAAUACGGAUAAGUGACAGAUAAGUGAAGCACCCUGGCUAUAAGUGAUUAAUACCAACACACUGGAACCACCUCUUCAAUGACCUACAUGAUGGAUAAAGUCAUACACAGAAAAGGCAUGAGCUGGUUUGCUUGUGUGACCCAAAGAAGUUGCACUGAUUUCCACCCUCCUGGGUAAAAUGCUUACAGUUCACUCACUAUACAAGUUUACUUGGAGGUUUGUGCCCACAACUGAUGGUUACCUGCCUAUGAAUUCUUCAAACCAGAAUCCAGUACACUUCACUUCCCUCCCUCCCUUUCCUUACCAGGGUGCUAUUACUGAACUGAUACAAACUAUCACUUUUUUAACACUGGAUGAAGAAAAGGAACUUCCCAAAGCACCUUACAGUAUGUCCAAAACCAAACACGAAUGAGUUGGCUGUGCUUUGGGAUUAUCUGAUUCCCUGGUGGCUCAGAGGAUAAAGCAUCUGCCUGCAGUGCAGGAGACCCGGGUUCGAUCCCUGGGUUGGGACGAUCCCCUGGAGAAAGAAAUGGCAACCCACUCCAGUAUUCUUGCCUGGAGAAUCCCAUGGACAGAGAAGCCUGGCAGGCUACAGUCCACAGGGUCGCAGAGUUGGACACGACUGAGAGACUUCACUCACUUUCCAAAUGCACAGAUAUUUGAGAGGGAUGCUGCACAGUCACCAUUGGCAUGGCUUCUAUAAUCAUGCUUGUUUUCCCUUAAGACAGAGGUCUCCGAACUGCAGGCAUGGACUGGUACCUCCUGUCAGAUCAGUGGUGGCAUUAGAUAGAAAUAAAGUGCACAGUAAGUGUCAUGUGCUUGAAUCAGCCUGAAACCAUCCUCCUCACCCUUGGUCCGUGGAAAAAUUAUCUUCAUGUAAUUGGUCCCUGAUGUCAAAAAAAGUGGUGAACCUCUGCCUUAGGACAUACACAAAUACUCAAUAUACAUCAUUUUUAUCAGACCUGCUCCCAUGCAUACAGUAGACAUCUGAGUAAUUAGACAGGAUAACACACUGUGUAAGUU